rnacentral:tRNA from 1 species
GGCAUGGCGGCGCGGCGGCUAGCGCUGCUGCCUCGCGAGGAGGCUCCGGGUUCGAGACCCGGCCGGCCG